rnacentral:rRNA from 1 species
UUUUAUUUGAGAGUUUGAUCCUGGCUCAGGAUGAACGCUGGCGGCGUGCCUAACACAUGCAAGUUGAGCGAUUUACUUCGGUAAAGAGCGGCGGACGGGUGAGUAACGCGUGGGUAACCUACCCUGUACACACGGAUAACAUACCGAAAGGUAUGCUAAUACGGGAUAAUAUAUUUGAGAGGCAUCUCUUGAAUAUCAAAGGUGAGCCAGUACAGGAUGGACCCGCGUCUGAUUAGCUAGUUGGUAAGGUAACGGCUUACCAAGGCGACGAUCAGUAGCCGACCUGAGAGGGUGAUCGGCCACAUUGGAACUGAGACACGGUCCAAACUCCUACGGGAGGCAGCAGUGGGGAAUAUUGCACAAUGGGCGAAAGCCUGAUGC